UACGGAGGAUCCGAGCGUUGUCCGGAUUUAUUGGGUUUAAAGGGUGCGUAGGCGGUUUUUAUAAGUCAGUGGUUAAAAGACUCUCGCUCAACGAGAGGGAUGCCAUUGAUACUGUAGAACUUGAGUACUGUAGAGGUAGGCGGAAUUGGUAGUGUAGCGGUGAAAAUGCAUAGAUACUACCAGGAACACCGAUUGCGAAGGCAGCUUUACUGGAGAGUAACUGACGCUGAGGGCACGAAAGCGUGGGGAUCAA
rnacentral:rRNA from 1 species